rnacentral:tRNA from 1 species
GCACCAUUAGCUCAGGCCGGAUAGAGCAUCGGUCUUCGGAACCGAGUGUCAGGGGUUCGAAUCCUCUAUGGUGCGCCA